rnacentral:rRNA from 1 species
UGGUGAUGACGGCGGAGGGGAUACACUCGUUCCCAUCCCGAACACGACCGUUAAGCCCUCCAGCGCCGAUGGUACUUGGACCGAAGGGUCCUGGGAGAGUAGGACGUUGCCA